rnacentral:rRNA from 1 species
AACGAACGCUGGCGGCAUGCCUAACACAUGCAAGUCGAACGCCCUGGUUCGCCAGGGAGUGGCGCACGGGUGAGUAACGCGUGGGAACCUGCCCGGCAGUACGGGACAACCGCGGGAAACUGCGGCUGAUACCGUAUACGGCCUGAGGGCGAAAGAAUUUCGCUGUCGGAGGGGCCCGCGUCGGAUUAGGUAGUUGGUGGGGUAACGGCCUACCAAGCCUGCGAUCCGUAGCUGGUCUGAGAGGAUGAUCAGCCACACUGGGACUGAGACACGGCCCAGACUCCUACGGGAGGCAGCAGUGGGGAAUAUUGGACAAUGGGCGCAAGCCUGAUCCAGCAAUGCCGCGUGAGUGAUGAAGGCCUUAGGGUUGUAAAGCUCUUUCGCCCGCGACGAUGAUGACGGUAGCGGGAGAAGAAGCCCCGGCUAACUCCGUGCCAGCAGCCGCGGUAAUACGGAGGGGGCUAGCGUUGUUCGGAAUUACUGGGCGUAAAGGGCGCGCA